rnacentral:rRNA from 1 species
GGAAUAUUGCGCAAUGGCCGAAAGGCUGACGCAGCGACGCCGCGUGUGGGAGGAAGCCCUCCGGGGUGUAAACCACUGUCAGAAGGGAAGAAACUCGGGCUUUCGAACAGGGAGUUCGGUUGACGGUACCUUCAGAGGCAGCGCCGGCUAACUCCGUGCCAGCAGCCGCGGUAAGACGGAGGGCGCAAGCGUUGUUCGGAAUUACUGGGCGUAAAGCGCGCGCAGGCGGUCUACUAAGUCCCUUGUGAAAUCCCGGGGCUCAACCCCGGAUAUGCGUGGGAUACUGGUAGACUGGAGACCGGUAGAGGCUAGCGGAAUUCCUGGUGUAGCGGUGGAAUGCGUAGAUAUCAGGAGGAACACCGGUGGCGAAGGCGGCUAGCUGGGCCGGUUCUGACGCUCAUGUGCGAGAGCGUGGGGAGCAAA